rnacentral:lncRNA from 1 species
CUAUGAGCCAUCCAAUGUUCACAAUGUUAGGGGUAUAUAAGUGAACAAAAAGAUAAAAAAAUAAAAUCCUAUAUUUUUCAGAGUUUAUAUUCUUUUGUAGGAGAUAGAUAUUAAACCAUAAAUGUGAUAAAUUCUAUUGACAUGACAAGGACCCUGGAUACGGAGAAACAAUAAUAGAGGGAAGCAAGGAGGAUUGCGAGAGUUGUUAGAAAGAAUCACUUCAUCAUCUCCCUCAUCCGUCCUAAGGACAAGCCUCUUUGAGAAGUUGACAUGUUGAAAUAUAUAAUGAGAGCACUUGAAAAGUUGCAGCCAAGGAGAGAGAGGAGAAUGUGGUUACCUUCAUUGAAACAGAUCUCUCAGCAUUUUAAAUAAUUCAUUAUUUUUUGCUCUACGAACAGUGAUGUUUUUCAACAAUAUCAACUACUAAUUAAGAAGAAUCUUAUAAAACAAAAAUAUCAAAUAUUUUAUUACAAUGAUAAGGUGAAUAUAUUGAUCCUCCUGGAAGAAUCAUUCACUGGCGGUAGAACUGAGUCCAAUUUUAAAUUCUACAGGGGAGCUGGUUUCGGUUUAAAUUAAUGAAGAAUUUGAAAUAGACUUUUCCAAGGAUGGAAAGCAUUGCUCUGGAAGAUAAUGAAUCUCAGACAUGGAAGACAUCCUGGCUAGGCUACAUAAUCAUUGGGCAGAGACUUUUGUCAUGAGGAUUCAAACCAUCAACUACAUGGACCCUAGGAGUAUACGAUCCUAUAACAAUUAAUUUAAUAGGUACUCAAGAAAUUGCAAUAAGCAGAAAAGAAAUGGUGACUUUCUCCAAUCUGUUCUACCCUGAAAUUUCAUCAGUGGGUGACAAAUGGACUCUCUCCAGAGAUUUCUGCUUGUUGGUAGAGCUAAUCCAUAGCACAGAAUGUUUCCAGAUCAGAUAAUGUAAACCUAUUGGUUGCUAUACUUAGAGUAUAAGAGUAUGAAUUUGGUAGGGUCACAAUUAAGACUCUGUCUUCUCAUGCUGUACCAAUACAUAAGCAUUUUAAAUAAAGACAAUCCUGGGAAUAUAUAAAAAUUUGACUACUAACAAUACACAAAUUCCUCCUAUCUUUCAGAUUUCUAUUAUGGAGAGUCAGGUUGAU